rnacentral:rRNA from 1 species
AUGGCGAGACCGCUCUUCCUGCUCGCCCUCCUGGCCACGGCUCUCGCAGCCACCUCAACCCUCGGCCGCCGCGGCGGGCUCCUGGGCGGGUGGAGCCCCGUCCCGGACGUGAACGACGCGCACGUCCAGGAGCUCGGCGGGUGGGCGGUGGCCCAGCACCCCAGCCUAGCCAACGACGGGCUGCUCUUCCGCCGGGUGACGCGCGGCGAGCAGCAGGUGGUGUCCGGGAUGAACUACCGCCUCUUGGUGGUCGCGGCGGACGGCUCCGGCAAGAGCGUGAUCUAUCUCGCGCAGAUCUACGAGCACUGGAGCGGCACCCGCAAACUCACGUCCUUCAAGCCGGCUGCCGGCGGCUAA